CUUGGAUCAUACCACCUCAUAUAGCAAGAUGUUAUACAAUAUGAAGAAACAAUGCUUUGCAACAAGUGCUUGAAAUGAAUUAAUAAUCUGGAUUUCAAGGUUCUUGUGGAACUACACCAUGAAAGACAGCCCUGAUUUAUCUGAGAAGGACCUAAGGUGACACUUCUUGGUAGGGCAUUCUUGGAGAGAGGAGGAGCCAGAGGAAGACACUGCAG